AUGGUAGAGGAACCGCAUGCGGCUUCCUCACUGGGGCUUUCGGGGGCGUGGGCUGGGGCUGGCCGUCCUGCCUCCCUCCGGGUAUCCCGGCAAAGCCUCGCUGUCAGAGUAGGAGGUCCUGCCUUUCCCCAACCCGCAGCCCCUCCUCCCCGCCCGCCAACCCAGGGUUCACCCUUUUUGUUUACUUAUUUAACAUAUAUUUAUUGCAAAGGCAGACUGAAAGGAAAAAGAGAACUUCCAUGUGCCGUGCACCUCCACCAGCGCCUGCCAACAACCAGGGUUGGGCCAAGCCCGAGCCAGGAGCUCCUCUGGGGUCUCCCACGUGGGUGGCAGGGACCCGCGUCCUUGAGCCACCAUCUGCCGCCUCCCCGUCUGCGCAUCAGCAGGCAGCUGGAAUCGGGAGCUGAGCAGGGGACUGGAUCCCGGGCACUCAGCUCUGGGGUGCGUGGGGGUCCCAGGCAGCGGCCAGGCACGGAGCCCACCCCUCACCCUGUAAGGAACCAGGCGCGAGCACCGCCCUCGGAGUUCCCAGUCGGCCGUUCCCACGGGCGAAUCCACAUUACUGGUGUUUUCAGGCUGUCUGCCCGGGCUUUACGGUCCGUGUUUCUGUCUCCACGCGGGCGACUGGAGUCAGAACCCGACAGACCUGCCGCUGGCCAACCUGGGGGCCCAAGGGCAAAGCCCUGCAGCGCUCCGAGUCUCGGUUUCCUCGUGCUCAGGAGCGGGGCCGGCGCCUACAGGUGCCUGCGCGCAUCCAGGCGGCGGCGGUCCCUGCCUCUCCCACGGCGCCCCGCGCCAAGGGCACCAGCGGUGGCAGUCUGUGCCCCCACGCACCCCGACAACGUCCCGCCAGGCCUGGCGGCCGAGAGAGACGGCCCCCUGGGCUCCGGAAACCCUCCGGGCAACCCGGAAAAGAUCCGCUCUUGGUUCGCCCCUAACCCUAACCGAACUCCUCCGCCCGGAACGAAUAUAAAGGCCAGGGCUGAAGGCGCGGGGUGCGGCCUGAGGACGAGCACUAGGGGCUGGAGAGGAGCCUGCGCCCCAACUCGGAGCGAGGAUGCGUGCAGCCCGGACAGCUCUCGUCCGCGCUCCGGGGCUGCAGGCUGA
rnacentral:lncRNA from 1 species